GUGAUAAUUAUUUAACGGCCGCGGUAUUUUGACCGUGCAAAGGUAGCGCAAUCACUUGUCUUUUAAAUGAAGACCUGUAUGAAUGGCUUAACGAGGGCUUAACUGUCUCCUUUUUCCAGUCAAUGAAAUUGAUCUUCCCGUGCAGAAGCGGGAAUAUAACCAUAAGACGAGAAGACCCUAUGGAGCUUCAAACUAAAACAGAUCUUGUUAAACGCAUCUAAUUAAAGAAAUAAACUUAAAAGAACCCUGUCAUUUAUGUUUUUGGUUGGGGCGACCAUGGGGAAACAAACAACCCCCAUGUGGACUGAGAAAACAGUUCUCACAACAAAGAGCCACAGCUCUAAUUAACAGAACUUCUGACCUUNGAGAUCCGGCAAUGCCGAUCAACGGACCCAGUUACCCUAGGGAUAACAGCGCAAUCCCCUUUUAGAGUUCAUAUCGACAAGGGGGUUUACGACCUCGAUGUUGGAUCAGGACAUCCUAAUGGUGCAGCAGCUAUUAAGGG
rnacentral:rRNA from 1 species